rnacentral:rRNA from 1 species
UCGGACCCCGACCCCAG